rnacentral:rRNA from 1 species
GUUGGGUAGGGGAGCGUUCUGUAAGCCGUUGAAGGUGUGCUGUGAGGCAUGCUGGAGGUAUCAGAAGUGCGAAUGCUGACAUAAGUAACGAUAAAGCGGGUGAAAAGCCCGCUCGCCGGAAGACCAAGGGUUCCUGUCCAACGUUAAUCGGGGCAGGGUGAGUCGACCCCUAAGGCGAGGCCGAAAGGCGUAGUCGAUGGGAAACAGGUUAAUAUUCCUGUACUUGGUGUUACUGCGAAGGGGGGACGGAGAAGGCUAUGUUAGCCGGGCGACGGUUGUCCCGGUUUAAGCAUGUAGGCGGAGGUUCCAGGUAAAUCCGGUACCUUUUAACGCUGAGGUGUGAUGACGAGGCACUACGGUGCUGAAGUAACAAAUGCCCUGCUUCCAGGAAAAGCCUCUAAGCAUCAGGUAACACGAAAUCGUACCCCAAACCGACACAGGUGGUCAGGUAGAGAAUACCAAGGCGCUUGAGAGAACUCGGGUGAAGGAACUAGGCAAAAUGGUGCCGUAACUUCGGGAGAAGGCACGCUGACAUGUAGGUGAAGCCCCUGCGGGUGGAGCUGAAGUCAGUCGAAGAUACCAGCUGGCUGCAACUGUUUAUUAAAAACACAGCACUGUGCAAACACGAAAGUGGACGUAUACGGUGUGACGCCUGCCCGGUGCCGGAAGGUUAAUUGAUGGGGUUAUCCUCAGGGAGAAGCUCUUGAUCGAAGCCCCGGUAAACGGCGGCCGUAACUAUAACGGUCCUAAGGUAGCGAAAUUCCUUGUCGGGUAAGUUCCGACCUGCACGAAUGGCGUAAUGAUGGCCAGGCUGUCUCCACCCGAGACUCAGUGAAAUUGAACUCGCUGUGAAGAUGCAGUGUACCCGCGGCAAGACGGAAAGACCCCGUGAACCUUUACUAUAGCUUGACACUGAACAUUGAGCCUUGAUGUGUAGGAUAGGUGGGAGGCUUUGAAGCGUGGACGCCAGUCUGCGUGGAGCCAACCUUGAAAUACCACCCUUUAAUGUUUGAUGUUCUAACCUGGCGCCGUGAUCCGGCGUGGGGACAGUGUCUGGUGGGUAGUUUGACUGGGGCGGUCUCCUCCUAAAGAGUAACGGAGGAGCACGAAGGUUGGCUAAUCCUGGUCGGACAUCAGGAGGUUAGUGCAAUGGCAUAAGCCAGCUUGACUGCGAGCGUGACGGCGCGAGCAGGUGCGAAAGCAGGUCAUAGUGAUCCGGUGGUUCUGAAUGGAAGGGCCAUCGCUCAACGGAUAAAAGGUACUCCGGGGAUAACAGGCUGAUACCGCCCAAGAGUUCAUAUCGACGGCGGUGUUUGGCACCUCGAUGUCGGCUCAUCACAUCCUGGGGCUGAAGUAGGUCCCAAGGGUAUGGCUGUUCGCCAUUUAAAGUGGUACGCGAGCUGGGUUUAGAACGUCGUGAGACAGUUCGGUCCCUAUCUGCCGUGGGCGCUGGAGAAUUGAGGGGGGCUGCUCCUAGUACGAGAGGACCGGAGUGGACGCAUCACUGGUGUUCGGGUUGUCAUGCCAAUGGCAUUGCCCGGUAGCUACAUGCGGAAGAGAUAAGUGCUGAAAGCAUCUAAGCACGAAACUUGCCCCGAGAUGAGUUCUCCCUGAGACUUAGAGUCUCCUGAAGGAACGUUGAAGACGACGACGUUGAUAGGCCGGGUGUGUAAGCGCAGCGAUGCGUUGAGCUAACCGGUACUAAUGAACCGUGAGGCUUAACCUUACAACGCCGAAG